UCAAGCUACAAAGGGCGCAAGGAGAAUGCCUUGGCACUGGGAGCCGAUGAAAGACGUGGUAAGCUGCGAUAAGCUUCGGGGAGGAGCAAACAUCCUUUGAUCCGGAGAUUUCUGAAUGAGGAAACUCACCAGAGUUCAUACUCUGGUAUCCUGUACUGAAUCCAUAGGUACAGGAGGGGAACCGCCUGAACUGAAACAUCUAAGUAGGGCGAGGAAGAGACAUCAAACGAGAUUCCGUUAGUAGUGGCGAGCGAACGCGGAAGAGGGCAAACCGGAAGGAGAAAUCCUUCCGGGGUAUGGACCGCUUUUAGGACUUUAGCUGUUAAUCGAAUGGCAUGGGAAGGCCAACCAAAGAGUGUGAGAGUCACGUAGAUGAAAACGGCGAGAGCUGCGCGAGUUCCAGAGUACGGCCAGACACGUGAAACCUGGUCGGAAGAUGGGGGGACCACCCUCCAACCCUAAAUACUACCCAGUGACCGAUAGCGUAUAGUACUGUGAAGGAAAGGUGAAAAGGACCCCGGGAGGGGAGUGAAAUAGAACCUGAAACCUUGUGCCUACAAGCACAUAGAGCACAUCAACGUGUGAUAUGGUACUUUUUGUAGAACGGUCCGGCGAGCGAUUGUAUGUUGCGAGCUUAAGGUCUUAAGGACUGGAGGCGCAGCGAGAGCGAGUCUGAACAGGGCGUUCAGUAACAUGCAAUGGGCCCGAAACCGGGUGACCUACCCAUGAUCAGGCUGAAGUGAAAGUAAAAUUUCAUGGAGGGCCGAACCGACCUCCGUUGAAAAGGCGGCGGAUGAAUUGUGGGUAGCGGAGAAAUUCCAAUCGAACUCGGAGAUAGCUGGUUCUCCCCGAAAUAGCUUUAGGGCUAGCCUCAUAUUAGAUACCCGGAGGUAAAGCACUGAAUGGCCUAGCGCCCGAGAGGGUAGCGAAGCCUAUCAAACUAAGAAUGCCGGAGUAUUGAUGUAUGGGAGUCAGACAGUGUGAGAUAAAUCUCAUUGUCAAAAGGGAAACAGCCCAGAUCUACAGCUAAGGUCCCAAAUUGUAUCUAAGUGGAAAACGAUGUGGAAAUACGCAGACAACCAGGAUGUUGGCUCAGAAGCAGCCACUCAUUUAAAGAGUGCGUAAUAGCUCACUGGUCGAGCGUCUCUGCGCGGAAAAUUUAACGGGGCUAAGAUACAAACCGAAGCUUAGGCUGCACGUAAGUGCGGGGUAGGGGAGCGUUGUGUAAGCGGAGAAACAGUAGCGUAAGCGGCUGUGGAGUUUACAGAAGUGAGAAUGCCGGAAUGAGUAGCGCGAAUGUGGUGAGAAUCCACAUGGCCGGAAACCUCAGGUUUUUGGAGGAAGGUUCGUCCGCUCCAAGUUAGGCGGGAGCUAAGGUCAGGCCGAAAGGCGUAGCCGAUGCACAGACGGUAGAGAUUCCGUCCCCACCGAAAGAUUUAAGCACAGGGACACUUUUUGAAGGUCGGAGCCAGGUGUUGGUUCUGGUAGUGAUCGAGGGAAAUAUAGUACCGAAGUCCGGCUGGAAGAGAGGCGAGAAAAGCUGUGUGUAUAUCUAAGGUGCCCGUACCGCAAACCGACACAGGUAGGUAGGAAGAAGAUUCUAAGGCCAACGGGAGAAGGGUUGUUAAGGAACUCGGCAAAUUGACCCCGUAACUUCGGGAGAAGGGGUGCUCCAGAGAUGGAGCCGCAGAGAAUCGGCCCAAGCAACUGUUUACCAAAAACACAGGUUUGUGCUAAAUCGAAAGAUGACGUAUACGAGCUGACGCCUGCCCGGUGCUGGAAGGUUAAGAGGAGAUGUGCAAGCAUUGAAUCGAAGCCCCAGUGAACGGCGGCCGUAACUAUAACGGUCCUAAGGUAGCGAAAUUCCUUGUCAGGUAAGUUCUGACCCGCAUGAAAGGCGUAAUGAUUUGGGCACUGUCUCAACAGCCCGCCCGGCGAAAUUGUAGUACCGGUGAAGAUGCCGGUUACCCGCGACAAGACGGAAAGACCCCAUGGAGCUUUAC
rnacentral:rRNA from 1 species